rnacentral:rRNA from 1 species
AACGAACGCUGGCGGCAGGCUUAACACAUGCAAGUCGAGCGGGCGCCUUCAGGUAUCAGCGGCGGACGGGUUAGUAACGCGUGGGAACGUGCCUUCUGCUCUGGAAUAGCCCUGGGAAACUGGGGGUAAUACCGGAUGUGCCCUGAGGGGGAAAGGUUUACCGGCAGGAGAUCGGCCCGCGUCUGAUUAGGUAGUUGGUGGGGUAACGGCCCACCAAGCCGACGAUCGGUAGCUGGUUUGAGAGGAUGAUCAGCAACACUGGGACUGAGACACGGCCCAGACUCCUACGGGAGGCAGCAGUGGGGAAUCUUAGACAAUGGGGGCAACCCUGAUCUAGCCAUGCCGCGUGGAUGAUGAAGGCCUUAGGGUCGUAAAGUCCUUUCGCCGGGGAAGAUAAUGACGGUACCCGGUAAAGAAGCCCCGGCUAACUCCGUGCCAGCCGCCGCCGUAACAC